CCGGGCUGGGCAGACUCCUAUCC
rnacentral:misc_RNA from 1 species